AUUGAACGCUGGCGGCAGGCCUAACACAUGCAAGUCGAACGGUAACAGGAAACAGCUUGCUGUUUCGCUGACGAGUGGCGGACGGGUGAGUAAUGUCUGGGAAACUGCCUGAUGGAGGGGGAUAACUACUGGAAACGGUAGCUAAUACCGCAUAACGUCGCAAGCCCAAAGAGGGGGACCUUCGGGCCUCUUGCCAUCGGAUGUGCCCAGAUGGGAUUAGCUAGUAGGUGGGGUAACGGCUCACCUAGGCGACGAUCCCCAGCUGGUCUGAGAGGAUGACCAGCCACACUGGAACUGAGACACGGUCCAGACUCCUACGGGAGGCAGCAGUGGGGAAUAUUGCACAAUGGGCGCAAGCCUGAUGCAGCCAUGCCGCGUGUAUGAAGAAGGCCUUCGGGUUGUAAAGUACUUUCAGCGGGGAUGAAGGGAGUAAAGUUAAUACCUUUGCUCAUUGACGUUACCCGCAGAAGAAGCACCGGCUAACUCCGUG
rnacentral:rRNA from 1 species